rnacentral:rRNA from 1 species
GACGAACGCUGGCGGCGUGCUUAACACAUGCAAGUCGAACGGAAAGGCCCUGCUUUUGUGGGGUGCUCGAGUGGCGAACGGGUGAGUAACACGUGAGUAACCUGCCCUUGACUUUGGGAUAACUUCAGGAAACUGGGGCUAAUACCGGAUAGGAGCUCCUGCUGCAUUGUGGGGGUUGGAAAGUUUUGGCGGUUGGGGAUGGACUCGCGGCUUAUCAGCUUGUUGGUGGGGUAGUGGCUUACCAAGGCAUUGACGGGUAGCCGGCCUGAGAGGGUGACCGGCCACAUUGGGACUGAGAUACGGCCCAGACUCCUACGGGAGGCAGCAGUGGGGAAUAUUGCACAAUGGGCGGAAGCCUGAUGCAGCAACGCCGCGUGCGGGAUGACGGCCUUCGGGUUGUAAACCGCUUUCGCCUGUGACGAAGCGUGAGUGACGGUAAUGGGUAAAGAAGCACCGGCUAACUACGUG